UACAGAGGUCUCGAGCGUUAGGCGGAAUCACUGGGCUUAAAGCGUGUGUAGGCGGAUCGGUAAGUACCUUGUGUAAUCCCACAGCUUAACUGUGGAACUGCUUGGUAUACUGCCAGUCUUGAGCCAGCUAGGGGCUACCGGAACAAAUGGUGGAGCGGUGAAAUGCGUAGAUAUCGGGAGGAACACCAGUGGCGAAGGCGACUACCUGGCCUGUUCUUGACGCUGAGGCGCGAAAGCUAGGGGAGCAAACGGG
rnacentral:rRNA from 1 species